rnacentral:rRNA from 1 species
AUUGAACGCUGGCGGCAUGCCUUACACAUGCAAGUCGAGCGGCAGCACGGGUGCUUGCACCUGGUGGCGAGUGGCGAACGGGUGAGUAAUACAUCGGAACGUACCUUAUCGUGGGGGAUAACGCAGCGAAAGCUGUGCUAAUACCGCAUACGCCCUGAGGGGGAAAGCGGGGGAUCGCAAGACUUCGCGCGAUUAGAGCGGCCGAUGCCUGAUUAGCUUGUUGGUGGGGUAAAAGCCCACCAAGGCGACGAUCAGUAGCUGGUCUGAGAGGACGAUCAGCCACACUGGGACUGAGACACGGCCCAGACUCCUACGGGAGGCAGCAGUGGGGAAUUUUGGACAAUGGGGGCAACCCUGAUCCAGCAAUGCCGCGUGAGUGAAGAAGGCCUUCGGGUUGUAAAGCUCUUUUGUCAGGGAAGAAACACCGGCUCUAACACAGUCCGGGAAUGACGGUACCUGAAGAAUAAGCACCGGCUAACUACGUGCCAGCCGCCGCCGUAA